ACGAUCAGUAGCUGGUCUGAAAGGAUGGACAUCCCACUGGGACUGAGACACAGCCCACACUCCUACGGGAGGCAGCAAUGGGGAAUAUUGGACAAUGGGGGCAACCCUGAUCCAGCAAUGCCGCGUGUGUGAAGAAUGCCUGAGGGUUGUAAACCAAUAUCAGUGGGGAUGAGGAUUGGUUGGUUAAGAGCUGGUCAAUUAAACGUUACCAAAAAAAAAUACACCGGCUAACACCGUACCAGCAGCCGCGGUAAUACGGAGGGUGCAAGCGUUAAACGGAAUUACUGGGCGUAAAGGGUGUGUAGGUUGUACGACUAGUUAUCUGUGAAAUCCCAGGGCUCAACCUGGGAAGGCCAGAUAAAACUGUUGAACUAAAGUAUGGGAAAGGGUUAUUGGAAUUUUCGUGUAGCUGUGAAAUGCGU
rnacentral:rRNA from 1 species